GGCCAGGUAGCCAAGUGGCAAGGCAAGGGUCUGCAAAACCCUUAUGCGUGGGUUCAAUUCCCACCCUGGCCUCAA
rnacentral:tRNA from 1 species